AGAGUUUGAUCCUGGDCUCACAAUCAACGCUGGCGGCGUGCCUAACACAUGCAAGUCCAACGAGAAACUGGAGCAAUCCAUGAGUAAAGUGGCGACCGGGUGAGUAACACGUGACCAAUCUACCCUUGAGUGGGGGAUAACCGCGGGAAACCGCGGCUAAUACCGCAUAACAUCUUUGAAACGCAGGUUUUGGAGAUCAAAGGAUCAAUCCGCUUAUGGAGGAGGUCGCGGCUGAUUAGCUAGUUGGUAGGGUAAUGGCCUACCAAGGCUUAGAUCGGUAGCCGGCCUGAGAGGGCGCACGGCCACACUGGAACUGAAACACGGUCCAGACUCCUACGGGAGGCAGCAGUGGGGAAUUUUGCGCAAUGGGGGAAACCCUGACGCACCAACGCCGCGUGGAGGAUGAAGUCCCUUGGGACGUAAACUCCUUUCGACCGGGACGAUAAUGACGGUACCGGUGGAAGAAGCACCGGCUAACUCUGUGCCAGCAGCCGCGGUAAUACAGAGGGGGCCAGCGUUGCUCGGAAUUAUUGGGGCGUAAAGGGCGCGUAGGCGGUGCGGUAAGUCACCCUGUGAAAUCUCCCGGCUUAACUGGGAGCCUGCAGGCGAAACUGCCCGUGCUGGGAGUGUGGGAGAGGUGCGUGGAAUUCCCGGUGUAGCGGUGAAAUGCGUAGAUAUCGGGAGGGACCACCUGUGGCGAACGCGGCGCACUGCACCACAACUGACGCUGAGGCGCGAACGCUAUGGGAGCAAACAGGAUUAGAUAC
rnacentral:rRNA from 1 species